rnacentral:rRNA from 1 species
CAGUCGCCGCGGUAAUACGAAGGGUGCAAGCGUUAAUCGGAAUUACUGGGCGUAAAGCGUGCGUAGGUGGUGGUUUAAGUCCGUUGUGAAAGCCCUGGGCUCAACCUGGGAAUUGCAGUGGAUACUGGGUCACUAGAGUGUGGUAGAGGAUAGUGGAAUUACCGGUGUAGCAGUGAAAUGCGUAGAGAUCGGAAGGAACAUCUGUGGCGAAGGCGACUAUCUGGGCCAACACUGACACUGAGGCACGAAAGCGUGGGGAGCAAACAGGAUUAGAUACCCCCGUAGUCCCUGUCUCUUAUAU